rnacentral:rRNA from 1 species
GAUGAACGCUGGCGGCGUGCCUAAUACAUGCAAGUCGAGCGAACAGACGAGGAGCUUGCUCCUCUGACGUUAGCGGCGGACGGGUGAGUAACACGUGGAUAACCUACCUAUAAGACUGGGAUAACUUCGGGAAACCGGAGCUAAUACCGGAUAAUAUAUUGAACCGCAUGGUUCAAUAGUGAAAGACGGUUUUGCUGUCACUUAUAGAUGGAUCCGCGCCGCAUUAGCUAGUUGGUAAGGUAACGGCUUACCAAGGCGACGAUGCGUAGCCGACCUGAGAGGGUGAUCGGCCACACUGGAACUGAGACACGGUCCAGACUCCUACGGGAGGCAGCAGUAGGGAAUCUUCCGCAAAGGGCGAAAGCCUGACGGAGCAACGCCGCGUGAGUGAUGAAGGUCUUCGGAUCGUAAAACUCUGUUAUUAGGGAGGAACAAAUGUGUAAGUAACUAUGCACGUCUUGACGGUACCUAAUCAGAAAGCCACGGCUAACUACGUG